rnacentral:rRNA from 1 species
UAAAUGGCCUCCCCUUUAGAGUAAUUCAAGUGAGGUACAGCCCACUUGACUCAGGAUACAACCUUCACUAACGGGUAACGUUUAACUAACAUCUUUAAGUAGGCCUAACAGCAGCCACCUUUCAAAAAGCGUCAAAGCUUAACCCUUUUAUCUUAAUUUAAAAACUUACACCAACCCCUCUAACUGUAUCGAGAGCUUCUAUAAUUUUAUAGAACCCUUUAUGCUAAAACUAAUAACAAGAGAUAAACCCUCUCUCCUAAUGCAAGCAUAAGCCAUCAAGAACCCAUCACUGGCAACUAACAUAACCCUAAUAGGUAGAAACUUCCACUAGAGAACCCUACCCACUUCCCCGUUAACCUAACACCAGAGCAUUUCAAGAAAGAUUAAAAGGGAGAAAAGGAACUCGGCAAACUUUAACCCCGCCUGUUUACCAAAAACAUCGCCUCUCGACCCUAUGAGAGGUCUAGCCUGCCCAGUGACUC